AACGAACGCUGGCGGCAUGCCUAACACAUGCAAGUCGAACGAGAUCUUCGGGUCUAGUGGCGCACGGGUGCGUAACGCGUGGGAAUCUGCCCCUUGGUUCGGAAUAACAGUUGGAAACGACUGCUAAUACCGGAUGAUGACGAAAGGCCAAAGAUUUAUCGACAGAGGAUGAGCCCGCGUAGGAUUAGCUAGUUGGUGUGGUAAAGGCGCACCAAGGCGACGAUCCUUAGCUGGUCUGAGAGGAUGAUCAGCCACACUGGGACUGAGACACGGCCCAGACUCCUACGGGAGGCAGCAGUGGGGAAUAUUGGACAAUGGGCGAAAGCCUGAUCCAGCAAUGCCGCGUGAGUGAUGAAGGCCUUAGGGUUGUAAAGCUCUUUUACCCGGGAUGAUAAUGACAGUACCGGGAGAAUAAGCUCCGGCUAACUCCGUGCCAGCCGCCGCGGUAA
rnacentral:rRNA from 1 species